rnacentral:sRNA from 12 species
GAGAGGAGGCCCCAAAUGCUGCGCAGCAGCAUUGCUGUAAAGGUGCCGACGACAUGCCGCCGAAGCGCAGCUGAGGGGGCGAUACGACAG